rnacentral:tRNA from 1 species
GCCCUGUUAGCUCAAUGGCAGAGUCGAAUGCUUCUAACAUUUUUAUCUUAGUUCGAAUCUAAGACAGGGUA